rnacentral:rRNA from 1 species
GAUCCGGCUCAGGAUGGACGCUGGCGGCGUGCUUAACACAUGCAAGUCGAACGAAGCACUUUAUUACGAUUUCUUCGGAAUGACGAUUUAGUGACUGAGUGGCGGACGGGUGAGUAACGCGUGGGUAACCUGCCUUAUACAGGGGGAUAACAGUUAGAAAUGACUGCUAAUACCGCAUAAGCGCACAGGAUUGCAUGAUCUGGUGUGAAAAACUCCGGUGGUAUAAGAUGGACCCGCGU